rnacentral:tRNA from 2 species
UCCUCAAUAGCUCAGUCGGUUAGAGCACCUGACUGUUAAUCAGGGGGUCCUAGGUUCAAGUCCUAGUUGAGGAG